GACAGAGGUCCCGAGCGUUAGGCGGAAUCACUGGGCUUAAAGCGUGUGUAGGCGGAUGCCUAAGUACCUUGUGAAAUCCCACGGCUCACCCGUGGAGCUGCUUGGUAUACUGGGUGUCUUGAGCCACUUAGGGGCUACCGGAACAAAUGGUGGAGCGGUGAAAUGCGUAGAUAUCAUUUGGAACGCCAAUGGUGAAAACAGGUAGCUGGGAGUGUGCUGACGCUGAGACACGAAAGCCAGGGGAGCAAACGGG
rnacentral:rRNA from 1 species